ACGAACGCUGGCGGCGUGCCUAAAACAUGCAAGUCGAGCGAGGUAGCAAUACCUAGCGGCGAACGGCGGAGUAAUACAUAAGCAACGUGCCCUGAAGACUGGAAUAGCCGGGGGAAACCCCGAGUAAUGCCAGAUGUGGCCCCGGUCAGGCAUCUGAUUGGGAUUAAACCGGGCAACCGGCUUCGGGAGCGGCUUAUGACCUAUCAGCUUGUUGGCGGGGUAAUGGCCCACCAAGGCUACGACGGGUAGGGGGUCUGAGAGGAUGACCCCCCCGAGUGGGACUGAGACACGGCCCACACACCUACGGGUGGCAGCAGUUGGGAAUCUUGCACAAUGGGGGAAACCCUGAUGCAGCGACGCCGCGUGGAGGAUGACGGAUCUAGGUCUGUAAACUCCUUUUGUCGGGAAAGACUUAGGACGGUACCCGGCGAAUAAGCCCCGGCUAACUACGUGCCAGCAGCCGCGGUAAGACGUAGGGGGCGAGCGUUGUCCGGAUUUACUGGGCGUAAAGGGCGCGUAGGCGGCUCGUUAAGUGUGAAGUGAAAUCUCCAGAGCUCAACUCGGAAACUGCUUCGCAUACUGGCGAGCUUGAGGAACGCAGAGGUGACUGGAAUUCCCGGUGUAGCGGUGAAAUGCAUUGAUAUCGGGAGGAACUCCAACAGCGAAAGCAGGUCACUGGGCGUCCCCUGACGCUGAGGCGCGAAAGCGUGGGUAGCAAACAGGAUUAGAUACCCUGGUAGUCCACGCCCUAAACGAUGGAUGCUAGACGUUGGGAGGUAUCGACCCCUCCAGUGUCGCAGCUAACGCACUAAGCAUCCCGCCUGGGGAGUACGGCCGCAAGGUUGAAACUCAAAUGAAUUGACGGGGACCCGCACAAGCGGUGGAGCAUGUGGAUUAAUUCGAUACUAACCGAAGAACCUUACCCAGGUUUGACAUCGCGGGUAAGCCCUUGAAAGAGGGCCCUCCCCCACAAGGGGACCCAAAGACAGAUGUUGCAUGGCUGUCGUCAGCUCGUGCCGUGAGGUGUACGGUUAAGUCCGCCAACGAGCGCAACCCUCGUCCUAUGUUACCAGCGGGUAAUGCCGGGGACUCAUGGGAGACCGCCCGUGUAAGCCGGAGGAAGGUGGGGAUGACGUCAAGUCAGCAUGGCUCUUACGCCUGGGGCUUCACACAUGCUACAAUGGACGAAACAAAGGGAAGCAAGACCGCGAGGUGGAGCUAAUCCCAAAAAUACGUCCUCAGUUCAGAUUGUAGUCUGCAACUCGACUACAUGAAGGCGGAAUCGCUAGUAAACGCAGGUCAGCUAUACUGCGUUGAAUACGUUCCCGGGUCUUGUACACACCGCCCGUCAAGUCACCUGAAUUGUCUUCACCCGAAGUCCGUGGCCCAACCGCAAGGAGGGAGCGGCCGAAGGUGAGG
rnacentral:rRNA from 1 species